GGGGACAAUAAAACAAAUGAAAUGAAAUAAAAGGGAAGUCCCGAGGGAGUCACCCCACCCCCUCUUGUUUGAAAACUUGUAAACGGUCAACAUCCCCACCUCUAAACCAUAUAUAUACCUGUAUGGGACAAUAAAGCUAAUCAAAUGAAAUUAAAGGGAAGUUCCUGGGGGUUGCCCCAACCCCGUUCAAUUUGAGAAUGUGCUAUUAUCUUGUAAAUGGUCCAGAUCCCCACCCCUAAACCAUAUUUAUUCUUAUAGGGGACAAUAAAACAAAUGAAAUGAAAUGAAAGGGAAGUCCCGAGGGGGUCACCCCACCCCCUCUUGUUUGAAAAAUUGUAAACGGUCAACAUCCCCACCCCUAAACC
rnacentral:lncRNA from 1 species